rnacentral:rRNA from 1 species
GGAUCCAGACUGAUUCUGGCUCAGGACGAACGCUGGCGGCGCGCCUAACACAUGCAAGUCGAACGAGCGAGAGAGAGCUUGCUUUCUCGAGCGAGUGGCGAACGGGUGAGUAACGCGUGAGGAACCUGCCUCAAAGAGGGGGACAACAGUUGGAAACGACUGCUAAUACCGCAUAAGCCCACAGCUCGGCAUCGAGCAGAGGGAAAAGGAGCAAUCCGCUUUGAGAUGGCCUCGCGUCCGAUUAGCUAGUUGGUGAGGUAACGGCCCACCAAGGGCGACGAUCGGUAGCCGGACUGAGAGGUUGAACGGCCACAUUGGGACUGAGACACGGCCCAGACUCCUACGGGAGGCAGCAGUGGGGAAUAUUGCACAAUGGGGGAAACCCUGAUGCAGCGACGCCGCGUGGAGGAAGAAGGUCUUCGGAUUGUAAACUCCUGUUGUUGGGAAAGAUAAUGACGGUACCCAACAAGGAAGUGACGGCUAACUACGUGCCAGCAGCCGCGGUAAAACGUAGGUCACAAGCGUUGUCCGGAAUUACUGGGUGUAAAGGGAGCGCAGGCGGGAAGACAAGUUGGAAGUGAAAUCUAUGGGCUCAACCCAUAAACUGCUUUCAAAACUGUUUUUCUUGAGUAGUGCAGAGGCAGGCGGAAUUCCCGGUGUAGCGGUGGAAUGCGUAGAUAUCGGGAGGAACACCAGUGGCGAAGGCGGCCUACUGGGCACCAACUGACGCUGAGGCUCGAAAGUGUGGGUAGCAAACAGGAUUAGAUACCCUGGUAGUCCACACCGUAAACGAUGAUUACUAGGUGUUGGAGGAUUGACCCCUUCAGUGCCGCAGUUAACAACAAUAA